GAACAACUGAAUUUCCAGCAUCUUUCCUCAUCCUGGGAAUUCCUAGGAAUCCUCCACUGACCGAGUCAGCACAGAAAUGAAAUGGAAACUGGAGGCUUAGCCAAUCAGAUGCUUCCACCCAGCUCUUUGAGCCUGUAGUGAGUGAUACAAGAAGCCAAGGACAGUGAACUAUUCAUCCUGGCAGUGGUGGCAGCAGCAGCAUCCUGGGGCCUGGCUACAUGGUGGUGAUGGCCACAGUGUCCCCCAGAUGUUCCAGCAGCAUGGUUUUCAUCGUGGUCUUGGCUAUCCAGCUGCUACCUUUGGUGCCUGCGUGAUUUCUGGGUCCAGUCUUCAAGAUAUUCUGUGAGCUAAUCAAUACCCUUCCAUUAGGUUUUUUGUUUUUUUGUGUUUUUUUUUGCCAUAAUCAGAGCCUGUUUCUUCUGCUUGCAACUGCGAAUGGACUAAUACAGAGUCUUUGAAGGGUAUGGGCAGGGAGAAAUGAUGGGACCUGGCUUGUACUUUGAAGAAGUCCUAUAGGCUGCUAUGUGGCCACGAUAGUAGAGCACAGCUACAGCAAAUCAUGAAGUCUUCAUCAGUCAGACACCAGCGUCAUGCUCUUGGCCUUGCCAGCUUCCAGAACCGUGAGCCAAAUACAUUAUUUUCUUUAUAACUUACCCAGUCUGUGGUAUUCAGUUAUAGCAGCAGAAAUGGACUAAGAUGGAACACAAGAGAGGGAAGGAAGUGCAGAGAGAGGGGGAGAAGAGGGAAUAAAACUUCCCCAGAGCUGCGGAGAGCCUACCCCAUCUCUUCAUCCCUGGGAAUCAGGGAGGGGCUGCAGACACAGCCCCUAAGCCUGCUCUGCAUGAUGAGAAGCAUAAAGACCUGACCCUACAGCGUAGUACCCUAAGCAUGUUCCUCCUGCCUGCGAUGAAAGGGGCUAUCUCCCCACCCACAUACAACCCAUCUGCCUCAGGUGUCCACACCAUGGAGGCAGAAUGUCAUGGGCUUGCUGUCAGACCAUGUCAGAUCAUGCUGGGAGAUAAAUUCCCACCAUUAACUCAGAACAUGGUGGUGCUGGUUGUGGGGUCCUAUGGCCAGAGCCUAUGCCCUCGCUGUCCAUGAUAGCUGCAUGGGGGGUGUAGGCUGGCACCAGCUACAGAUGCCCUGAGAGCUGCUGUCCAAAGAGCUGUUCUGAAGAAGCUUUGCUGAGGGGCACAGGGCCGUGGGGGGAGAGAGAGGCAGCCGUGGGGGCGCCCCAGAUGUUGCCCCAUGCCCUUCCAGGGCCUGCCUGGAACUGAAGACACGAGCCCUUGUGAGAGUCAGAGGCACUCGGUCGGGCGCG
rnacentral:lncRNA from 10 species